rnacentral:rRNA from 1 species
AGAAUCAACGCUGGCGGCGUGCCUAACACAUGCAAGUCGAACGAGAAAGUGGAGCAAUCCAUGAGUAAAGUGGCGCACGGGUGAGUAACACGUGACUAACCUACCUUUUAGUGGGGGGAUAACCUAGGGAAACCUGGGCUAAUACCGCAUAAUACCUACGGGUCAAAGCAGCAAUGCGCUGGAAGAGGGGGUCGCGGCCGAUUAGCUAGUUGGCGGGGUAAUGGCCCACCAAGGCAGUGAUCGGUAUCCGGCCUGAGAGGGCGCACGGACACACUGGAACUGAAACACGGUCCAGACUCCUACGGGAGGCAGCAGUGGGGAAUUUUGCGCAAUGGGGGAAACCCUGACGCAGCAACGCCGCGUGGAGGAUGAAGACCCUUGGGUCGUAAACUCCUUUCGAUCGGGACGAUAAUGACGGUACCGGAAGAAGAAGCCCGGCUAACUUCGCGCCAGCAGCCGC